CAAUAGCGUAUAUUUAAGUUGUUGCAGUUAAAAAGCUCGUAGUUGGAUUUCGGAUGGGACUUGCCGGUCCGUCGUUUCGAUGUGCACUGGCCAGUCCUAUCUUGUUGUCGGGGACUAGCUCCUGGGCUUCACUGUCCGGGACUAGGAGCUGACGAGGUUACUUUGAGUAAAUUAGAGUGUUCAAAGCAAGCCUACGCUCUGAAUACAUUAGCAUGGAAUAACACGAUAGGACUCUGGCUUAUCUUGUUGGUCUGUGAGACCAGAGUAAUGAUUAAGAGGGACAGUCGGGGGCAUUCGUAUUUCAUUGUCAGAGGUGAAAUUCUUGGAUUUUUGAAAGACGAACUUCUGCGAAAGCAUUUGUCAAGGAUGUUUUCAUUAA
rnacentral:rRNA from 1 species